rnacentral:rRNA from 1 species
GACCUCAUAAAGUGCGUCGUAGUCCGGAUUGGAGUCUGCAACUCGACUCCAUGAAGUCGGAAUCGCUAGUAAUCGUGGAUCAGAAUGCCACGGUGAAUACGUUCUCGGGCCUUGUACACACCGCCCGUCACACCAUGGGAGUGGGUUGCAAAAGAAGUAGGUAGCUUAACCUUCGGGAGGGCGCUUACCACUUUGUGAUUCAUGACUGGGGUGAAGUCGUAACAAGGUAACCGUAGGGGAACCUGCGGUUGGAUCACCUCCUUACCUUAAAGAAGC